rnacentral:rRNA from 1 species
UACAGAGGGUGCGAGCGUUAAUCGGAAUUACUGGGCGUAAAGCGUGCGCAGGCGGUGAUGUAAGUCAGAUGUGAAAUCCCCGGGCUCAACCUGGGACCUGCAUUUGUGACUGCAUCGCUGGAGUGCGGCAGAGGGGGAUGGAAUUCCGCGUGUAGCAGUGAAAUGCGUAGAUAUGCGGAGGAACACCGAUGGCGAAGGCAAUCCCCUGGGACUGCACUGACGCUCAUGCACGAAAGCGUGGGGAGCAAACAGG